AGUGAACGCUGGCGGUAGGCCUAACACAUGCAAGUCGAACGGCAGCACAGUAAGAGCUUGCUCUUACGGGUGGCGAGUGGCGGACGGGUGAGGAAUACAUCGGAAUCUACUUUUUCGUGGGGGAUAACGUAGGGAAACUUACGCUAAUACCGCAUACGACCUACGGGUGAAAGCAGGGGAUCUUCGGACCUUGCGCGAUUGAAUGAGCCGAUGUCGGAUUAGCUAGUUGGCGGGGUAAAGGCCCACCAAGGCGACGAUCCGUAGCUGGUCUGAGAGGAUGGUCGGCCAAACUGAAACUGAAAAACGGUCCAGACUCCUAGGGAGGGCAGCAGUGGGGAAUAUUGGACAAUGGGGGCAAGCCUGAUCCAGCCAUACCGCGUGGGUGAAGAAGGCCUUCGGGUUGUAAAGCCCUUUUGUUGGGAAAGAAAAGCAGCAGGUUAAUACCCCGCUGUUCUGACGGUACCCAAAGAAUAAGCACCGGCUAACUUCGU
rnacentral:rRNA from 1 species